rnacentral:rRNA from 1 species
GACGAACGCUGGCGGCGUGCUUAACACAUGCAAGUCGAACGGAAAGGCCCUGCUUUUGUGGGGUGCUCGAGUGGCGAACGGGUGAGCAACACGUGAGUAACCUGCCCUUGACUUUGGGAUAACUUCAGGAAACUGGGGCUAAUACCGGAUAGGAGCUCCUGCUGCAUGGUGGGGGUUGGAAAGUUUCGGCGGUUGGGGAUGGACUCGCGGCUUAUCAGCUUGUUGGUGGGGUAGUGGCUUACCAAGGCUUUGACGGGUAGCCGGCCUGAGAGGGUGACCGGCCACAUUGGGACUGAGAUACGGCCCAGACUCCUACGGGAGGCAGCAGUGGGGAAUAUUGCACAAUGGGCGGAAGCCUGAUGCAGCAACGCCGCGUGCGGGAUGACGGCCUUCGGGUUGUAAACCGCUUUCGCCUGUGACGAAGCGUGAGUGACGGUAAUGGGUAAAGAAGCACCGGCUAACUACGUGCCAGCAGCCGCGGGAUACGUAGGGUGCGAGCGUUGUCCGGAUUUAUUGGGCGUAAAGGGCUCGUAGGUGGUUGAUCGCGUCGGAAGUGUAAUCUUGGGGCUUAACCCUGAGCGUGCUUUCGAUACGGGUUGACUUGAGGAAGGUAGGGGAGAAUGGAAUUCCUGGUGGAGCGGUGGAAUGCGCAGAUAUCAGGAGGAACACCAGUGGCGAAGGCGGUUCUCUGGGCCUUUCCUGACGCUGAGGAGCGAAAGCGUGGGGAGCGAACAGGCUUAGAUACCCUGGUAGUCCACGCUGUAAACGGUGGGUACUAGGUGUGGGGUCCAUUCCACGGGUUCCGUGCCGUAGCUAACGCUUUAAGUACCCCGCCUGGGGAGUACGGCCGCAAGGCUAAAACUCAAAGGAGUUGACGGGGCCCCGCACAAGCGGCGGAGCAUGCGGAUUAAUUCGAUGCAACGCGUAGAACCUUACCUGGGUUUGACAUGGAUCGGGAGUGCUCAGAGAUGGGUGUGCCUCUUUUGGGGUCGGUUCACAGGUGGUGCAUGGCUGUCGUCAGCUCGUGUCGUGAGAUGUUGGGUUAAGUCCCGCAACGAGCGCAACCCUUGUUCACUGUUGCCAGCACGUUAUGGUGGGGACUCAGUGGAGACCGCCGGGGUCAACUCGGAGGAAGGUGGGGAUGACGUCAAGUCAUCAUGCCCCUUAUGUCCAGGGCUUCACGCAUGCUACAAUGGCUGGUACAGAGAGUGGCGAGCCUGUGAGGGUGAGCGAAUCUCGGAAAGCCGGUCUCAGUUCGGAUUGGGGUCUGCAACUCGACCUCAUGAAGUCGGAGUCGCUAGUAAUCGCAGAUCAGCAACGCUGCGGUGAAUACGUUCCCGGG